GGUAGCGUGGCCGAGCGGUCUAAGGCGCAGAUUUAAGGCGCCAGUCUUACCGAAAACGUGGUUUCGUAUCCCACCGCUGCCA
rnacentral:tRNA from 1 species